rnacentral:rRNA from 1 species
CCCUUAGAUACUCUGGGCCGCACGCGCGCUACACUGGUCGAUGCAACGAGUUUCUUUCCUUGGCCGACAGGCCUGGGCAAUCUUUGAACAUCGAUCGUGAUCGGGAUAGAUUCUUGUAAUUUUUGAUCUUAAACGAGGAAUUCCUAGUAAACGCAAGUCAUCAGCUUGCAUUGAUUACGUCCCUGCCCUUUGUACACACCGCCCGUCGCACCUACCGAUUGAAUGGUCCGGUGAAAUCUCCGGACUGGCGUGAGUCGGAGCAAUCUGACAAACACCGGAAAGUUGAUUAAACCUUACCAUUUAGAGGAAGGUGAAGUCGUAACA